CUGAUGAUUCAGUAUUUUCCUUUCAUCUUCAUUCAGUUUCGGAGGAGGAAAACUAGUAGCUGCCUUCCACAAUUUUACUGUCACUUCCUUUAUGUCCAUUCUUGAAGUGACCAUUGGAAAUGUUGUGUCGAGAAGGAUUAUGAGGCUAAGGCAAAUGGAAGAAAAUGUCAAGAUCGAGUAGCUAUGUCUGUCAUAACAGAGAAGAAAAAGUGUUACAGCAAAUAGUCCACAAACUUACCAACUCUGGACAAACCCAAAUAAAUACUACAUCACUUGGUUAACUAUAAUCCAGAAAAGCAUCAUGAUUACUGAAUUACCACUCUAGUACUGACUGAAGUUUGUUGAAAACAGGAAGCAAGAUAUCUGUGAACAUGCUUUGAUCUACUAACAUUGAUGAUGAUUAUUAUGACUGCUAGAGUAAUUCUAGCC